AGCGGCGGACGGGUGAGUAAUGCCUAGGAAUCUGCCUGGUAGUGGGGGACAACGUUUCGAAAGGAACGCUAAUACCGCAUACGUCCUACGGGAGAAAGCAGGGGACCUUCGGGCCUUGCGCUAUCAGAUGAGCCUAGGUCGGAUUAGCUAGUUGGUGAGGUAAUGGCUCACCAAGGCGACGAUCCGUAACUGGUCUGAGAGGAUGAUCAGUCACACUGGAACUGAGACACGGUCCAGACUCCUACGGGAGGCAGCAGUGGGGAAUAUUGGACAAUGGGCGAAAGCCUGAUCCAGCCAUGCCGCGUGUGUGAAGAAGGUCUUCGGAUUGUAAAGCACUUUAAGUUGGGAGGAAGGGUUGUAGGUUAAUACCCUGCAAUUUUGACGUUACCGACAGAAUGAGCACCGGCUAACUUCGUGCCAGCAGCCGCGGUAAUACGAAGGGUGCAAGCGU
rnacentral:rRNA from 1 species